rnacentral:rRNA from 1 species
UACAGAGGUCUCAAGCGUUGUUCGGAUUCAUUGGGCGUAAAGGGUGCGUAGGCGGCGCGGUAAGUCGGGUGUGAAAUCUCGGAGCUUAACUCCGAAACUGCAUUCGAUACUGCCGUGCUUGAGGACUGGAGAGGAGACUGGAAUUUACGGUGUAGCGGUGAAAUGCGUAGAUAUCGGGAGGAACACCUGUGGCGAAGGCGGCCCCCCUGGUUGGAUACUGACGCUGAGACGCGAAAGCGUGGGGAGCAAACAGG